rnacentral:rRNA from 1 species
UGGGGAAUAUUGCACAAUGGGCGAAAGCCUGAUGCAGCGACGCCGCGUGCGGGAUGAAGGCCUUCGGGUUGUAAACCGCUUUUAAUUGGGAGCAAGCGAGAGUGAGUGUACCUUUUGAAUAAGCACCGGCUAACUACGUGCCAGCAGCCGCGGUAAUACGUAGGGUGCAAGCGUUAUCCGGAAUUAUUGGGCGUAAAGAGCUCGUAGGCGGUUUGUCACGCCUGGUGUGAAAGUCCAUCGCUUAACGGUGGAUCUGCGCCGGGUACGGGCAGGCUAGAGUGCAGUAGGGGAGAUUGGAAUUCCCGGUGUAACGGUGGAAUGUGUAGAUAUCGGGAAGAACACCAAUGGCGAAGGCAGAUCUCUGGGCUGUUACUGACGCUGAGGUA